rnacentral:tRNA from 1 species
GCGAGAUUGGUUCAGUGGUAGAACAUGUGCUUCCCAAGCACAGGACGCGGGUCCGAUUCCCGCAUCUCGCA